ACCGCUCGCCGCGCCCGAAUCGUGCCAAAUUGGUAGUGAUCUCGGGGCGGGGCGUGACAUGAGUAGUCUAAUGUUGUUCCGGUUUUUGUUCUUGUGAACAUUGACAUCGAUUCGUUCCAAAUUUACACUCUCGGGGCAUAAUAGAACAAUAUAAUUAGGUUUUACGCUUUAUUAGAUAGAAUGAGAAAAAGUACCCGUUGCAAAGUUAUACUGUUAGGGUGCAACUGAGUAGUCUAAUGUUAUUCUGAUUUUUAUUCUUGUGAACGUUGACAUCGAUUCGUUCCAAAUUUACAAUCUCGGGGCAUAAUAGAACAAUAUAAUUAGGUUUUACUCUUUGUUCGAUAGAAUGCGAAAAAGUACUCGUUGUAAAGAUAUACUGUUAGGGCGCAACUGAGUAUUCUAAUGUUGAUCUGGUUUUGGUUCUUAUGAAUGUAGACAUCAAUUCAUUCCAAAUUUGCACUCUCGGGGCAUAAUAGAACAAUAUAAUUAGGUUUUACACUUUGUUCGAUAGAAUGAGAAAAAGUACUCGUUGUAAAGUUAUACUGUUAGGGCGCAACGAAGUAUUCUAAUGUUGUUCCGGUUUUGGUUCUUGUGAACGUUGACAUCGAUUCACUCAAAAUUUACACUCUCGGGGCAUAAUAGAACAAUAUAAUUAGGUUUUACUUUUUGUUCGAUCGAAUGAGAAAAAGCACUCGUUGUAAAGUUAUACNGUUUUUGUUCUUGUGAGCGUUGACAUCGAUUCGUUCCAAAUUUACACUCUCUAGGCAUAAUAGAACAAUAUAAUUAGGUUUUACGCUUUCUUCAAAAAAAUGAGAAAAAUUACUCGUUGCAAAGUUAUACAGUUAGGGCGCAACUGAGUAGUCUAAUGUUAUUCCGGUUUUUGUUCUUAUGAGCGUUGACAUCGAUUCGUUCCAAAUUUACAAUCUCUGGGCAUAAUAGAACAAUAUAAUUAGAUUUUACGCUUUCUUCGAUAAAAUGAGAAAAAGCACUCGUUGCAAAGUUAUUCUGUUAUGGCGCAACUGAGUUGUUUAAUGUUGUUCCGGUUUUUGUUCUUGUGAGCGUUGAUAUCGAUUCGUUCCAAAUUUACACUCUCUGGGCAUCAUAGAACAAUAUAAUUAGGUUUUACGAUUUUUUUUAUAAAAUGAGAAAAAUUACUCGUUGCAAAGUUAUACUGUUAUGGCGCAACUGAAGUGCCUAAUGUUGUUCCAGUUUUUGUUCUUGUGAGCGUUGACAUCGAUUCGUUCCAAAUUUACACUCUCUAGGCAUAAUAGAACAAUAUAAUUAGGCUUUACGCUUUCUUCGAUAAAAUGAGAAAAAGUACUCGUUGCAAAGUUAUACUGUUAGGGCGCAACAGAUUUGUCUAAUGUUGUUCCGGUUUUUGUUCUUAUGAGCGUUGACAUCGAUUCGUUCCAAAUUUACACUCUCUGGGCAUAAUAGAACAAUGUAAUUGGAUUUCACGCUUUUUUCGAUAAAAUGAGAAAAAGCACUUGUUGCAAAGUUAUUCUGUUAUGGCGCAACUGAGUUGUUUAAUGUUGUUCGGAUUUUUGUUCUUGUGAGCGUUGACAUCGAUUCGUUCUAAAUUUACACUCUCGGGGCAUAAUAGAACAAUAUAAUUAGGUUUUACGCUUUCUUCGAUAAAAUAAGAAAAAGCACUCGUUGCAAAGUUAUACUGUUUGGGCGCAACUGAGUAGUCUAAUGUUAUUCCGAUUUUUGUUCUUAUGAACGGUGACAUCGAUUCGUUCCAAAUUUAUAAUCAAGGGGUAAAAUAGAACAAUAUAAUUAGGUUUUACUCUUUGUUCGAUAGAAUGCGAAAAUAUACUCGUUGUAAAGUUAUACUGUUAGAGCACAACUGAGUAUUCUAAUGUUGUUCCGGUUUUGGUUCAUAUGAAUGUUGACCUCAAUUCAUUCCAAAUUUGCACUCUCGAGGCAUAAUAGAACAAUAUAAUUAGGUUUUACUCUUUGUUCGAUAGAAUGAGAAAAAGUAAUCGUUGUAAAGUUAUACUGUUAGGGCGCAACGAAGUAUUCUAUUGUUGUUCCGGUUUAGGUUCUUAUGAACGUUGACAUCAAUUCCUUCCAAAUUUACACUCUCUGGGCAUAAUAGAACAAUAUAAUUAGNNNNNNNNNNNNNNNNNNNNNNNNNUGAGCGUUGACAUCGAUUCGUUCCAAAUUUACACUCUCUGGGCAUAAUAGAACAAUAUAAUUUGGUUUUACGCUUUCUUCGAUAAAAUGAGAAAAAGUAUUCGUUGCAAAGUUCUACUGUUAGGGCGCAACUGAGUAGUCUAAUGUUGUUCCGGUUUUGGUUCUUUUGAACGUUGACA
rnacentral:lncRNA from 1 species